GCGAGAAGAUUUCAUGCUGUGACUCUCUGGAGGGAAGCGCUUUCUGUUGUCUGAAAGAAAACAAAGCGCUUCUCUUUAGAGAGUUACGGUUUGAGAAAAGC